rnacentral:rRNA from 1 species
UACAGCUGAUAUGGCAGGAGCGGGCGCAGGCGACAGAGCCCAAGCCGCGGCCGCGGCGGCGGCCUAUACCACCUCCUGACGUACCCGUAGCACGUCGAGGACUCGCUGCCGUGGCACUCCGCGUCGGACCUGAUGAGGGUGGACGGCUACGACUCUGUGCAGGGGAGGCUGGACGGGCAGGUCACCUUUCUGCACCACAUGCUGUGGCCGUUGCCGGAGGCGGAGGCCUACAUGUCCGGUUGGUGGCGGCCGGCGCGUCUCUUCUUCGUGGGCUUCGAGGGCCACGAGCAGAUGAAGGUGCCGCCUCCGAAGACGUAGCCGUCGAAGCUCACCGGGUUGAAGGUGCGCCCGCGCGAGGCCGACCGGCCGCUCGAGGGCCGCGAGCACGAGAGGCGGCUGAUGGCCGAGCGGGGCCUCGUGGCGGAGGGGCGGCGCGUGGCCCUGCGGCUCUGGCAGGAGAGCACCGAGGCGCUGGUCCGCCGGCGGCCGUGGCUGCGGACCGAGCGGCUCACGCGGCUGAAGCCGGCCCACAAGCAGACGCCGCUGAGGCGCCCGCCGUUGUACCACGUGGUGCAGCGGCGGGCGGAGCCGAGCCCGCGGGAGCGCGAGCCACUGGCCCACGCCCAGCAGCCCACGCACUAUGAGACCGGGAUGAAGCCACCGCACCUCUCCUGCCGCCGGCUCCGGCUCCGGCUCCGGUACCGCGGCAGCAGGCUCAAGCUGGGACCUUUCUUGAAGCUGGUCUACACCGCCGACCGAAACGGCCUGCCUCGCUGGUCCCUGGUGGGCCGCCGCUUGGGCAAGCCCGGCCUCUCGCGGGGCGAGCUACUGCACGCCAAGGGAGGCCACGACCAACGGUUACGGCCGGCACUGGCCUACGCGCUGGCCCACCGACUCAUGCACCGCUCCGAGGCCCGGUACCCCUUCGGGCAGCUCGAGCGGCUCAAGCUCCCGGUCCCGGUCCCGAAGAAGCACAAGCGGGGGAAGCCACUACGGAGUCUGCUCGACCAGGCUCACCAGUCCGUUAAGUACACAUGCACAUGCCGCUGGUCGGUGCCCACU